UACUAUUAUUUCAAAAGAAACGAUAAAUACUAAAAAUGAAUAGAUAUUAUAUCUAUUUCGAAUAUUUCAAACCAUGCUUUUGAAAAAUAAUUGCUAAAUUGAUAAAAGCGACGUGAACAAAAGGAAUCGAAUACAAUAGUUUCGAAAUUUAUAAAGAAGAUAUUGUCAUCUAGUGUUUCAUCUUUUUUCUUAAUUUAUGACUGGAAUUCUUUGAAAAAAAAUCAAUUUACUGUUUCACUUUAUAUUUUAGGAAGUUAUAAAAUCAUUCAGAAUAAAUAUUAAUUAAUAUUUCAAGUCAGAAAUCAAUCAAAUAUAUAACAUGAUCGAUGAUUGAUUGUUAUGUUUGUAAAAAUUUAUAUCGAAAAGUACAAACAUCAAAAAUAAAUCAAAUUACAAUUGAUUUACAUUGCUCAGUACAUUGUAUAUACAUGAUUGAUAUUGUUUGACAAACUCAUGUUGAAAGUUAUUUUACAGUCUGAUUUUGAAACAAACAAUUUAUUAAUGUAUCUGUUUUAAAUCUAUAACAUCAUUUAAAACUAUUAAAUAAAAAAUAAAUAGCAUGGAGAAACUACAUUCAUAAAACUAUAUUCCGAGAUAAAUAUCAAGGAAGAAAGAGGAGAAACGCCACUUCGAAAAUUGAGAAACGGAAGUCGUGAGCCACAAUCAUAGGAAGAUAUCUGUUCCUCACUUUUGUCGAGAACUUCGCCGACAGUUUGGAGUAGUUGAAAACGAAUGAAACAGGGACGCUCGUGUAAAUUUAUGGAAAAUCUUUCUUCCCCCGGUGCGUUUUCCAUCCGGCGACGGAUACGUUUCUCUUCCAAACAAACUUCGCCUUGCGUCGAACGGAAUUUCACGUUUCAAUUCUUACGACUUUAGAACUUUUACGACAACGAGUCCCAGGAAAACGAAAAAGGUAUUUCUUUCAAAUCGAUUAUUUGCAACUACAAACCAAAAACUAACUACGUGUAUCGAUUAUAUCCAAACAACCAGUCGCAGAAUAAAUUCAAUGGAAGGGCCAAAAGUGGUUAAGACAGACGUUUAAUUGUUCUCGUUAAAUAGUUUGAGAAACAGGCGAACAGGUGAUCGAAAUUCGAGGAUUGAAUCGCGUUUAAACAGGAAUUCUCUGUUUACGGAACGUGAACUGAAGACGGUCGUUGCACCUACUGCGACGCAAACUCUAGAAUAAAUCCGGAAGAGCGCUCAAGAUUGAGAGGGAAGAGGAAAGAGAGAGAGGGAGAGGGAGAGGAGGGAGGGGGGGAAGGAAAGGGUGUGCAAAAAGAGCGGAACUAAAACUUCACGGGACUGAGUUGUCUAGGGGGUAGUAUGUAAAAUCGCAAAUGGAUUCUCUUUCGAGUCUCGCGAACUUUUGAAAGAGUAAAUACGGGCUUACGGCUACCCUCGCCCAUCUCGUUUCAGAAAACGCGUUACUUCUUUUGUCUUUCGCUCGCGCACUCGACACUUUUUACCCUGCGCUACCUAAAAAACCUACCUUCGAAUUUGGACGGGCGAGUUUGUAUUUGGACCACUUGGAUCGUUUGUUUCGUUUGUUGCGACAUAAUGCACGUGCUUUGCAUUUCACGUUCACGCUAUUAGUCCACGUUCACGGAGGCGUUUUGCGUUUCUUUUCAUUUUCGACGCCCGUAACAACAACAAAACGUGGCUAUCGCUCUUGUAAAUUUUUCGAAUGCAUUUACUUUUGUGGAAAGGAAAAGAGAGAGAAACGUCUCGUCUUGAACAAUGUGGAAUUAGUAGGAACAUUCGUUGGUAAUCGAAAAAGCUUGCCAUGUUUCUGCUAGAUUAAAUAUACGUACUUUUUUACGUGCAUCGAGGAAAAGACUCGUUUCAUCGAGACAAUCUCGAGGUUCUUGGAGAUCUUUGAAAAAAAUUUUUUAUCGGUAAAAAUGUUGAUUUAGAAAUAUUUGCUAUUUAAAGUGAAUCACGUGUUAUUUAUUUCAUACAGUUGUUUUAAUCUAUUGAUUUCUAUUAAUUUUAUUAAAUAUAUAGGAAACAAUUAUAUUUUAUUUUAAUUAUCAAACAUAAAUACGUUAAAAGGAUUUAUAUAUAGGAUAAGGAUAGAAUAAGAAAAAGAAAAAAAAAGAAUAUUUCAUGACGAUGAGAUUUGACACGUAUGAAAUUAAUUACAGAAUCUUUCACGGUUAAUCUUGAUCGAUAAUACUUCUAUUUGCACGUACAUCGGCUUAAACCUCUAUGGUAUGGUAAUUCUUUAAAUUGCGACAGCAUAAUUAAGUCGUGUCAUAUUACCUGCUUGUUAUGCUAAUCUGAAAAUAGAAUGAACGAAAGAGGGUUACUGGCAGGGUCGUUGUACCCAGGAUUUUCUCCGAUUUCUUUUAAGACGUUUGUAGUACGUGAGAUACCUUUGAAAUAAAAAUCCUCUGAACUAAAGUGCAGCGCCUUCCUUUAAGGCAGUCACGCACUUUGGUGCAAAGGUCAAUAUUAUAUUUUUUUUUUUUUCUUAUUUCAAAACAUAAUGGGAAUUGCCUAUGUAACAAAAAAUAUAUAUAUAUAUAUUGUUGACAAAAAUUUACAUUUGGUGUAAGAUAAUCAGUAUAAGAGAUGAAAUUUAAGAUAUUUAAAAAAAUAUUAUAUACAGAGAUUCUUCAUUAUGCGACAUUAUAUUAAAUUUAAAGAUUUAGAGAAAGUAUAAAGGAAAAGAGAUAAGAGAUGAUUAAUGAACAUUCAUACGGGUGAUUAGAAAACAAAUGACGAAAAAUAUGACAAAAUGCCAUUUCAUGAUUUAAUUACCCGGUGCCAUUACAGCAGACGCGUCGUGAAAUAUUUUCAAGCAGCAGAAACAAUAGCUGGGGACCCAAUUACCAGAGUUCGUGUUGCGUCGAGAGUGCUCAGACAGGCGUUUCCUCAAGGCUUCUCCUUCGCCGACUACCUACCCUACCGACGCAUGUAAGAGCAAUAUGUGUAUGCCAGUUAAGUUUCGCACGCUCUCGACAUCACCAAUAUAUCUAUAGGGUGUUCGGAUAAAAUACGUAGAAAAUUUAAAGAAAUUAGUCCAAAUAUAAAAGUUGUUCCAUAUUCAAUUGAAUAUAUUAUAAUCAUUGUCGUUAUCAAAUUUAAAAAUAUUCGAAGUCAUGUAAAUAGAAGGUAAUUAAGAAAAAUAAAUUAUGAAAGAAUAUUCAUGUUGUUUCAUUUGGCAAAAGUAAUUCUAUUCAUCUUAAUUUACAUGGAAAAUAAUAAAAAAAAAAAACGUAUAAAGUGACAUAUAAAUGGAAAUUAUGAAAGAAAAAAGUUAAACAGUUUGAAAGAAAAGAAAAAAAUUAAAUAUUCACCGGUUGACUGAAGCAAAAAAAAGUGAUGGAAAGAAGAGUAGAAGGGUAGAAGGUAGGGAGGAAUAACAGACAAAAGAGGAAGCGAAGAAAAACUGGAUAAGAGAUGCAACGAAACGACGAGGGAAACCGUUUUCUUUAAAAAAGAUUGAAAGUGAAGGAAAAAAUACGAUUAAUGACAAAUUAAAAUCAUUAUUCUACAUAUGAUAAUAAAAGCGUUGAUUCAUCGAUAUAAACAUCUUCAUUAACCAAGCAAAUAUUUAUUCGAGAAUAUUAUAUAAAUCAUUUUUAUUAUCAUUCAAUCUUUUUUUAAAUUAAAUUAAAAAAAAAAGCAUUCAUUUAAAUAAACAUAUACAUACGUUAUUAACACAUCAUGCACAUCAAUUACUUUGCAAAAUGUCGAAACUCGUAAAACUUGACCCAAAUCGAGAUGAAAGAUUAUAAAAAUUUCAUGUUCGUGUAAGCAUGCUCGUGUAAUACUAACGUUCCUGAAACACGUGCUAUUUUCUCCUCUUGGUUUCGUUAGCCUGCACCUGCCGGUACAAUAAUUGGAGGAAGCACAUUCACGUGUUUUCAAAUGGGAAAAAAAAAAAAAA